GAUCAUGGCUCAGGAUGAACGCUAGCGACAGGCUUAGCACAUGCAAGUCGAGGGGCAGCACGGGAGUAGCAAUACAACUGGUGGCGACCGGCGCACGGGUGAGUAACGCGUAUGCAACCUACCUAUCAGAGGGGAAUAACCCGGCGAAAGUCGGACUAAUACCGCAUAAAACAGGGGCACCGCAUGGUGAUAUUUGUUAAAGAAAUUCGCUGAUAGAUGGGCAUGCGUUCCAUUAGGUAGUUGGUGAGGUAACGGCUCACCAAGCCGACGAUGGAUAGGGGAACUGAGAGGUUGGUCCCCCACACUGGUACUGAGACACGGACCAGACUCCUACGGGAGGCAGCAGUGAGGAAUAUUGGUCAAUGGGCGAGAGCCUGAACCAGCCAAGUCGCGUGCCAGGAAGACGGCCCUAUGGGUUGUAAACUGCUUUUGUAUGGGAGCAAUAAGGGCUACGCGUAGUCCGAUGAGAGUACCAUACGAAUAAGCACCGGCUAACUCCGUGCCAGCCGCAGC
rnacentral:rRNA from 1 species